UCGCGGCUUAUCACCGGCAGUCUCCUUAGAGUGCCCAACUGAAUGUAGCAACUAAUGACAAGGGUUGCGCUCGUUGCGGGACUUAACCCAACAUCUCACGACACGAGCUGACGACAACCAUGCAGCACCUGUGUUCCGAUUCCCUUUCGGGCACACCCAGCUCUCACCAGGCUUCCGGACAUGUCAAGGGUAGGUAAGGUUGUUCGCGUUGCAUCGAAUUAAUCCACAUCAUCCACCGCUUGUGCGGGUCCCCGUCAAUUCCUUUGAGUUUUAAUCUUGCGACCGUACUCCCCAGGCGGUCAACUUCACGCGUUAGCUGCGGUACUAGGAAAUCGCUUCCCCAACACCUAGUUGACAUCGUUUAGGGCGUGGACUAC
rnacentral:misc_RNA from 1 species